GAUGAACGCUAGCUACAGGCUUAACACAUGCAAGUCGAGGGGAAACGACAUCGAAAGCUUGCUUUUGAUGGGCGUCGACCGGCGCACGGGUGAGUAACGCGUAUCCAACCUGCCCAUCACUUGGGAAUAACCUUGCGAAAGUAAGACUAAUACCCAAUGAUAUCCCACGAAGGCAUCGGAAUGGGAUUAAAGAUUUAUCGGUGAUGGAUGGGGAUGCGUCUGAUUAGCUUGUUGGCGGGGUAACGGCCCUCCAAGGCAACGAUCAGUAGGGGUUCUGAGAGGAAGGUCCCCCACAUUGGAACUGAGACACGGUCCAAACUCCUACGGGAGGCAGCAGUGAGGAAUAUUGGUCAAUGGGCGAGAGCCUGAACCAGCCAAGUAGCGUGCAGGAAGACGGCCCUAUGGGUUGUAAACUGCUUUUAUAAGGGAAUAAAGUGGGUCACGUGUGACUUUUUGCAUGUACCUUAUGAAUAAGGACCGGCUAAUUCCGUG
rnacentral:rRNA from 1 species